AUUGAACGCUGGCGGCAUGCCUUACACAUGCAAGUCGAACGGCAGCACGGGAGCAAUCCUGGUGGCGAGUGGCGAACGGGUGAGUAAUACAUCGGAAUGUGCCCAGUAGUGGGGGAUAGCCCGGCGAAAGCCGGAUUAAUACCGCAUACGACCUAUGGGUGAAAGCGGGGGAUCGCAAGACCUCGCGCUAUUGGAGCGGCCGAUGGCAGAUUAGCUUGUUGGUGGGGUAAAAGCCUACCAAGGCGACGAUCUGUAGCUGGUCUGAGAGGACGAUCAGCCACACUGGGACUGAGACGCGGCCCAGACUCCUACGGGAGGCAGCAGUGGGGAAUUUUGGACAAUGGGGGCAACCCUGAUCCAGCCAUUCCGCGUGAGUGAAGAAGGCCUUCGGGUUGUAAAGCUCUUUCGGCAGGAACGAAACGGUGGCCCCUAAUACGGGUUGCUAAUGACGGUACCUGAAGAAGAAGCACCGGCUAACUACGUGCCAGCAGCCGCCGUAA
rnacentral:rRNA from 1 species